rnacentral:rRNA from 1 species
GACUAUUAGUGGUGGAUCACUCAGCUUGUGUGUCAAUGAAGUACACAGUUAGCUGAGAGAAUCAGUGUGAUUUGCAGGACACUCUGGAUAGCAGAGAGUGUCAAUCUUCUGUUCAAAUGACA